UACGUAGGGGGCUAGCGUUGUCCGGAAUCAUUGGGCGUAAAGAGCGUGUAGCGGCCCGGUAAGUCCGCUGUAAAAGUCAAAGGCUCAACCUUUGAAUGUCAGUGGAUACUGCCGGGCUAGAGUCCGGAAGAGGCGAGUGGAACUCCUGGUGUAGCGGUGGAAUGCGCAGAUAUCAGGAAGAACACCAACGGCGAAGGCAGCUCGCUAGGACGGUACUGACGCUGAGACGCGAAAGCGUGGGGAGCGAACAGG
rnacentral:rRNA from 1 species